UACGUAGGGGGCAAGCGUUGUCCGGAUUUACUGGGCGUAAAGAGCGCGUAGGCGGACUGUUAAGCGGGGCCGGAAAGCCCCCGGCUCAACCGGGGAAGGGGCCGCGAACUGGCAGUCUUGAGGGGGGAGAGGGGAGAGCGGAAUUCCUGGUGUAGCGGUGAAAUGCGUAGAGAUCAGGAGGAACACCAAUGGCGAAGGCAGCUCUCUGGCUUCACCCUGACGCUGAGGCGCGAAAGCGUGGGGAGCGAACGGG
rnacentral:rRNA from 1 species